CUAGAGAUAUCUAUGUCCUUGAUCAAUAAGGCAACCUUACUCUUAAAUAUCAACUCUCUAGAUAACCUGAAAGCAAACUUCCUCAUCCUAGACCUCAUGCUUGAAACCAUCUUCGGAGCAUACCGAGACAACUGGUGAAACUUUAAGGUAUACUCCUUGACUGACAUUUUUCCAUGCUUCAAACUAACAAACCCUUCUGCC
rnacentral:lncRNA from 1 species